GGCCAGGCCUGCUGGGAGGCCGCCUGGACGCGGCUGGACCCGGCGACCCGCGCGUCCUCGGGCCGCGCAGGCCGCCGAUCGCCGGCGAGUCUCGCGUUCCCGUCCCGGACGUGAAGGACGCCCUUCCAGGCGCGGGGAUCCUGCCCCGCCGCCCAGGCCCCCAGCCUCUCCGUCGGCGGGUCCCCGAGAAGGCCCGGCGCAGCCCACGCAUCCCGCUAGCCACGCCCGAGGUGGCGGCCUCCGGCGUGGAGAGCCCGGGCCGGCCGGCGGCGGCGGCGGCGGGGUCGCGGGCCGCAGGGGCGCGCCAAAGGCGUCCGGACGUGGGAGCGGAGGGGGGCGGGGGGUCGACAAGUUGCAGGCGACCCUUUGCGUCCCCUCCGCGCCCCCCCGAGAUGCCUCAAAUCAGUUCCCCUCGUUUCCCAAAGGCCCUGUCCUCGCGCUCCUUCCUUAAUGCGCCCAACAAUGCGGGGGCGUCCGGGGGGGAUGGGAGCUGGACGGCGCCGGGCUGCCCCCCGGGACCCUGGGCGCCCCCGCGCCUCGCCUCCCGUCGGGGGCGCGCACACGCACACCCUCGGCCCAGUGCGGGAAGGGGAAGAUGGCCGUUUCUGCUGCAGGAUAAAGGCUCUUUGUUGCGCUCACACAAAAGCCGCCAGGAGACCCGCUUUUCCAGCAAGGCCCUCGGGGCACAUCGAGGGGGCCCAGCUGAAUUUCCAAAUGGCCCUAGAAGCCCGAAGAGGUGGGAGCCCCUGAAGAGAGGGGGGAUCCCAGGCCUCCCGCCCUCCGCCACCCCAACCUCUGUCACUCUCCAAAGCACUCGUCGGGGGAGACGGGGGGGAUUGAGGUCUUUCGUCAAGGGAGGAAGGAAAGAAGAAAAACCUACUUUUACCAUCAAGGCCCAAAGGGGGUAUUAAAAACAUUCACAUUCUUGUAGGGUUUCUCCCCCUGAACCAGGGUAGACACUUAAUCUGGAAAAAAGAAAAAAAAAAAAGUCUGGACACACCAAAAAGAAAAAAAGAAAGGAAAAAAAAAAAUACCAACAAUAGCAACUUGGGGGGGAAAAAAAAAAAAAGCAAAAAAACAUAACAAACCAGUUGCCAUCAGCCCAAAGUGGUAGUAGCAGCAGCCGGCGCGUGUGAUCCACUUACUUGUCCGACUCUUGUGACAUGUUUGAUCCAAUGAACUCGCUCCCCUUUUCCUGGAGCCUCAGCCUCUGGUGAAACUGGACUUUCAAGUCUGUGCAGGUGAAGGUGUGUGAGAGCGCCCGAGAUGGCAGAACAAGAGCUACAGGAGCUGAAUUCUUUUACUAAAGGGUACAAGCCCGAGGGACGAGCUGCGCGGUGAUUGGCUGCGGGGCUCCCUCAGGUGAGCUGCCAUUGGCAGAGGCGCGUGCAGGGAUUAUGGGUCGAACGGAAGGACUCAGCAGAGCAGAACUCGGGGAUCCCAAGCCAACCGGAAUCCGAGGCGCAGCACCACCACGGGGCUUUUUCAUGCCCACAACUAAGAGGACUGUGGGACAGUUUGGGAAGAGUGUGAAGUUGACUUUGUGCGCCGAGGAGGGGCAAACACAACGACCGCCGGGUUUGCUGCGUCGUUUCAUUUUUAACGUACCCCACAGACAACCCCUUUCGGGCCCCGAUGUGUAGACUAUGCCCAGCAGAUUGCAGCUGUUCUAAGAGGGGAGCACCCGUUCACGAGCUGGGCAGGUGACCUUGGUGGGGUGAGGAGGUUUGGGUGAACAGACGAUAAAUGGGCCCCUGACGCACCUUUUUCACCUCCACUCUGCAGCCUGGGAUUCCAGAGCUGCAAACAACCACGGACCUGUUCCAUAAACCUGUUGUCUUUCGACGUAUCCAGGCAGACAUCAACAUUGACAUUGUAAUUCAAUAGAAGCCGUGACUACAAAGGUGCUUUAUCCUUCCAGUGUAAUAUGGUUGCUACGGAAACAAUUCAGGAUGAAGCUGACUUUUGUGUGUGUGUGUGGUUCUGCUUCACCUGGUUGGAAACAACUCGAACUAGCAAAGGUGCAAUUAAUUUAUAAUCACUGCUCCCCAAGUGUAUUGGUGAAAAUUGUUUAUAGGGAUCUAGCCCAUACUGAUGGAUUGUGGAACUGAAGGGGGACGUGAAAAGCUUACCGUAUUUUAUCCGUGUUACAUUGCGAGAGUUCAUACAACUUUUCAUCUUGAUGGAUCAGAUGUUUUCUAAAAAUUACAUUAUGAAACAAUG